AUCGCCGCGCCGGCCGCCAACGGCCACUGCAACGGUCCCUACCGGGGAGGGCCGGCUUUUGCCGGCUUCCGGAGAAGGGAGGAAAGAGAGAGGUUUACCUAACACUGUAAAGAGAACGUUCAAUGAAAUACAAAGAAAAAGAUGAUUUUUUUGCUCCAAGAGAAUUAUUCCAGCCUUGGGGUGGAGUGGGUGUGGACAGUGAGCAGAAAAACAAGAAACCAAGUUCUGGGAGGAAAUAAAAUGAAUAUAAUCAGUGGAAAAUUCAGCAACGCAAUAUUGUGUGACAACAGUAAAUGACCAAUUUAUAAUUUAAAUUCUAUGAAAAAGAGAUUUAGAAGAGAGUUCUACCAAACCCACUGUUCCCUAGGGAAUAAAAUGAGUAACGCUGACUGGCAACAGUGCAUCCUGAGGGAGCCUGGAGAAACAACAGCAGCCUCCGACCUCAAGAUAUCCUGGUUAGCUGCAAAGUAGUGCUGUGACAGUGUCUUAAGUAGGGCAUGUUGAUAGAUGGAAAAGGACGGCAAACUCGAGGUGCUGAUUCAGGAAGAAGCAGAUUCCAAGAUGGAAGAGAAAAUAUCGAGAGAAAUAUGCCGAGAGAAGAAUCCAGGCAGAAUGGAAUCCAGGCAGAAUGGUGAAUGGAAGGUUCGGGUGACCAAGAGAAAGGAAGGGUGACUCAGCAAGUCUGUAGUUUCAGCUCUUGUAUAGUACGUUAUACUUGAAAAGCUGAAGCCUUUUCUCGGGGAAGAGUCAGAACGGCCUGGAGGGCUUGCUAAAGCGCUGCUGGCUGGGCCCCGCCCGCUGAAUGACUAAUGGAGACUCUGAGGGCCGGCUGGUAAUUUGAGUUUCUAACAAGCCCUGUUUCGAUGCUGGUACAGCCGAUCUAGGGAAAAUAUUGGAACAAGGAAAAAACUAAGAAGAAAUUUUAAAAAGUAAUCAAAGGCGGCCAAGUGAGGUGGCUCACGCCUGUGAUCCUAGCGCUUUGGGAGGCCGAGGCGGGCAGAUAUCUGAGGUCAGGGGUUUGAAGACCAACAUGGAGAAACCACGUCUCUACUAGAAAUACGAAAACUAGCCAGGCGUGGUGGCUAAUGCCUGUAAUCCUAACUAGUCAGGAGGCUGAGGCAGAGGAGUCGCUUGAACCCAGGAGGGGGAGGUUGCAGUGAGCCGAGAUCGCGCCACUGCACUCCAGCCU
rnacentral:lncRNA from 1 species